rnacentral:rRNA from 1 species
CUUGUUGGCGAGGUAACGGCUCACCAAGGCAACGACGGGUAGCUGGUCUGAGAGGAUGGCCAGCCACAUUGGGACUGAGAUACGGCCCAGACCCCUACGGGAGGCAGCAGUGGGGAAUCUUGCGCAAUGGCCUAACGGCUGACGCAGCGACGCCGCGUGUGGGAUGAAGCUCUUCGGAGUGUAAACCACUGUUGCCCGGGACGAAUAGCUCGAUUAAUCGAGCCUGACGGUACCGGGUGAGGAAGCACCGGCUAACUCCGUGCCAGCAGCCGCGGUAAUACGGGGGGUGCGAGCGUUGUCCGGAAUCACUGGGCGUAAAGGGCGCGUAGGUGGUUUGAUAAGGGUGUGGUGAAAGUCCGGGGCUCAACCCCGGAUCUGCCGUGCCGACUGUCAAACUCGAGGGCUGUAGAGGCAGACGGAAUUCCGGGUGUAGCGGUGGAAUGCGUAGAGAUCCGGAGGAAGACCGGUGGCGAAGGCGGUCUGCUGGGCAGUUUCUGACACUGAUGCGCGACAGCGUGGGGAGCAAACAGGAUUAGAUACCCUGGUAGUCCACGCCGUAAACGAUGGGUACUAGGUGCCUGGGGGAGCGACCCUCUGGGUGCCGGCGCUAACGCAGGAAGUACCCCGCCUGGGGAGUACGG